GAUCUGGAAAGAAAAGCAGAAUGAAUGAAUGGAUGGAUGGAUGGGUGAACGGACAGAUGAAUGAAUGAGCAUUUUCUCCAAGCAUAGCAGCUUCCUCUUUCCUUCCACAUUUCAUCAUUUUCCAGCUACAUCUUAAAGCUGUUCACACUCAUACCCUUUCCCUCUGGGUGAGUCUUCCAGGGCCUGUCCACAUAUGAACUUGAAGACAACCCAGAGCCUGGUGGUUGUGUGACUUCCAGACUGAGCAGGGAGCCAGGGACAUGUCCUUCGCUCACUGACCCUGUGCAGAAAGCGCUUCCCUGAAACAAGCACCCUUCUUACUCUCCUCAUAUGGUCAGAAUGAAGACCACAGCUUGCCUCCUGCACCGUCACUUUCUCAGGCAGCUCCUUCCAGCCCUCCCGCCUGCUCAGUGCUAGACCGGAAACUCACAGCCACGUCCUUUUGUCAGACCACCCCCCUAUUUGCUACUGUCCAAAUCCACUUCCCUAAAGCUCACACCUUCCCCUUUCUUAGUUCAGUUCCUCAUUUUGCUGGUGUAGAUGACAUCGUUAAAUAGCCUCCUAGCAGAAGUGGGGGUGGCAACCCCUUUGCCUGUCUGAAAAUACCUUGGCAGAUUUGGCCAGGGGAAAGUAAACACAGGAUGAAAGUUAUCUUCCCCGCACACAUUUGGAGACAUUCCUCUGCUGUCUAAAAGCUCCUUAUUGCUGAUAAGACAGGCAUUCUCUUCUCUUCUCAUUCCACGGCCCUGACUGCACCAGAUAGGCCGGCCACAGCUCAUUCUUCCACAGGCAGGCUGGCUUUUAAGUCCUUGGAGAGGAAUGUUGAGGACUUUCCUGCUUGACAUUUUUGAGAUCUGAACUGAAUGUGUCACUGCGGAUUACAGGAGUGUGCCACCAUACCCAACGCCUAUCAACCAACAGACAACUGAAUCAGUGGAUGCUGAAGCCAUGUACAGAGAGCAGACUGAAUUUUGGUAUCAUCCGAGCCUAAUUAGACCCAUUCUGGAUUGAACCAAGAGUAAACUGCCACCGGGGCAUAGAACUUAUGCAAUAGAGGGUCUCUCACUGAACCUGCAGCUCACUGACUUGGCAAUGCUGGCCGGCAGUUAACUCUACAGAUGCGCAUGUUUCCAGCACCGGCAUUUACAGACACGCACCACUACAUCUGGAUCUUACAUGUGGUGGAGGGAUCUGAACUCAGGUCAGCACUUAAGUGGCAGACACUUUAGUGACUGAAUCAUCUGAUCCAGGCUCCAAUCUGUUUUGCGGUUACUUCCCAAAGUCUUUGAAAAACCAAUCAAAAAUGUAGCGUGAAGAAUACAAGCAGAAUGAACUAUAAUGUACACUAUGGUUAACAAAGUUUCUAAUUUCUGUUGACAGGCUCACACCCUAUCACAUCCUGAAAUGCAACCCCAUAUUAAUAAUGGCAUUCUCUGAGCUAACUGCAAUGUGCCAUGGGACAAACUGCUUCUGCAAGGCCAGAUGCGAGUCCCCUGACUCAGUUAUGGAGACUCUGACGAAGCCUGUGGAAGCACUUUGGUUUAGGGUGCUGGUGUUUCUCUGAACCUGAGGCAACACAAUACCAGGAAGUGUUACGAAAAAUUUCCAGCCAUAUAUAGCUGGCUCCUUGUCAAUGUCUUACUACGUGGCUGAUGCAGUAGUGAAAGGCGUCAAUGGAGUGACUUACAUGGUUGGCUCCACCCACAAAGGGGUGUAUAUAUUAUAAGCUUUACAAAGUUAGGGUAUGAGGUCAUCUGUGUUUGUAAGACAGAUGCCUUGAGCUCAGGGUCCAGGCUGUGGUUGCGGGUGACUCACCUGUGAGGGAAUCAGACCCGUGCGUAAGGCUACCCGUAGCUGCACACAAGCUCCACACUUGCGGCAUUUUGCACAGAACAAGCAAACCUACCUUGAGGUCAUAGAGGAGCUGGAAGCUGCUGGGGGCCUGUGACGCUCUCUGGACAGCCUGAGCCAGGGCCAAGGCCCCCUGGCCCCCUUCUGCCCAGUGGGUGCACUUGACAGCAUCAAAAGCCCCGUGUUCUCUGGAGAGGCGGCUGACAAGGUCCAGCUCAGCAUCUGUAUCUGUCCUGCACAGGAGGGCUUCACGUUAAAGAAUGAAGGUGGCUGGAGGGGAGAGUAUGCCUUGCUUAUGCCACUAAAGCCCACGAGGAAUACCGCCUGAGAAAAGGACACCACUCAGUCCUGCCCGCUUCUAGCUCAGCUCUAUGACCUUUGGCCAGUUACUUUAUCUGUACUUAUUUGGCUCCACAAGGAAAAAAUGGAAAACUUCACAGCAGCGCUGCCCAGGGAUGCCAUGAGGCUUAGACAGGAAUAUGUUUAAAGCAUGUGGAACAAUCCCGGCACACCACUGGGAAUCAGUAAAUACUAGCUUUAAAAAUUGCUGCUUCCCAUCGCACUGCGGUGAGGGCAUUAUUGCAAAACCCUAAACAGUGCUAAAGUGCCAAGCCACCCACACAGCUCUUGCGCGAACACUUCUAGCUCAAUGCAUUCAACUCUCUCAACAGAGCGUCCCACCUGACCUGGAGAAAUAAAGAUAUUCUGCAGCCUGUGCUCUCCUGUAAGCACAAAAGGCCUGGGAACACCCGAAAAGAACAUUUCUUGUCAAGCCUAUGUGUUCUCCGAGUUGCUCAGUAGAGAAGAGGGCCCUCAGGAGCAAUUCUGACUUUUGGACCUCAGUGGUGAGGUAGCUAACGUGUGUCUGCUGUGAUACACAUGGUGCCUGUCACAUCACAAGCUAGACCACAAGCAAUAACCAACAGCAGUAAGUGGAGAACUACUCGGAGCUAAAGGCGGCACUGCGCUUGCUACAGGAGCUAUUUCCUGGCAUUUCCGACAUUCCUCCUCUCUAUAUUUCACACUUACUUGAACACGUUCACAGCCACGACGACAGGGACUCCAAACAUUCUAGCAUUUUCGAUUUGUUUCCUCAAGUUACUGAAGCCCUUUUCAACCAGGUCCAGGUCCUGUCAAACAACAGCAAAUGGCCUGUAAGGUCAAAACACGCUGACCUGAAAACAGCUGCUGCCUCUAUUUAAGACAGAGACACUGCCACUGUCCCUGGGGCACGCCUGUAAUCCCAGCAUUCAGCAGGCAGAGGCUGGAGGAUAGACAAGUUGAGAUUAGCCUGGGUACACAGUAAAUUCUUGUCUCAAAUAAGAUAACAAGAAAAAAAAGGAAGGUGUGUCUUGGAGCUGGAAGAAGGGCAAGAUGGUGGUGGCCACUAUGAGGGCCAGUGAUGCACUUCCCACAUGCUACUGGUGGAAGAGAAGCGACCCCUGUCUACAGCACUCGAUUGAAGCUGUGCUACCUCCCUACGCCUUGAAAACACGCAAUGGCCUCUUAGUUCUUUGAAGGGGAUGAGUCUGAUGCCUCUACUUAAAGACAUUCACAGCUUGUGUAUUUACACAGAUUAACUCCCAAGGUGUGCUACAAACCAACAAGACUUUUCUCAGUGGGAGCCAUUUGAUCAGGGCAGAGCCCAGCACAGGCCCCACCAGCCAUAAAGACUGUCAAGCAAUAAGUCAGUGAAGUUUCAGAGGAUUUAAGGAACUUAACCAGGAGCCUUCCCAAGGCUAAUAAAAUAAGGAAAUGCUAUUUGGACAACCCGGGGCCUGGGCAGGACUGAUAACUCAGUGCUUAAGUAUAUACUUCCUGCUCUUCCACAGGAAAUGAGUUUGGAUCCAGUACCCAAGUCAGGCAACUCACAUCAGCCUGUAACCCCAGCGCUAUGGCUCAUCCUCUUCUGGUCUCUUCAGACACUCCCAACCUCCACCCUAUGCACGCGCCUGCACACGGAGACACGUGAAUAAAAAUAAGCUUAAAAGAAAAGCCAGGGCUGGAGAGAUGGCUCAGCAGUUGAGGCACUGACUGUUCUUACAAGGGGCUCUAAGACAACCACCUAAAAUUCCAGUUCCUGGAGAUCCGAUGUCCUCUUCUGCCUCUGAGGGAGCCAGACAUGGGUAUGAUAUGCAUGCAUACAUGAAGUACUUCCCAUGUACACAUACAAAACAUAGAGGUUUUAAAAAAAAAAA